UUAGUGGCGAACGGGUGAGUAACGCGUGGGGGAUUCUGCCCAUGAGCGAGGGAAUAACAUUCGGAAACGGGAUGCUAAUCCCUCAUAAGUUUUUUGACCUCCUGUCCAUUGAAUAAAAGACGGCCUUUUGUGCUGUCACUCAUGGAUGAUCCCCGCGGCGUAUUAGUUAGUUGGUGAGGUAAUGGCUCACCAAGACCAUGAUACGUAGCCGACCUGAGAGGGUGAUCGGCCACACUGGGACUGAGAACGGCCCAGACUCCUACGGGAGGCAGCAGUAGGGAAUCUUCCACAAUGGGCGCAAGCCUGAUGGAGCAAUGCCGCGUGAAUGAAGAAGGUCUUCGGAUCGUAAAGUUCUGUUAUUAGAGAAGAAUAAGUUGAGGGGCAACUAUCUCGACUUUGACGGUACCUAACCAGAAAGUCACGGCUAACUACGUGCCAGCAGCCGCGGUAAUACGUAGGUGACAAGCGUUGUCCGGAAUUAUUGGGCGUAAAGGGGGCGCAGGCGGUUGGAAUAGUCUGAUGUGAAAGCCCACGGCUUAACCGUGGAAGGUCAUUGGAAACUGUCCAACUUGAAUGCAGAAGAGGUAAGUGGAAUUCCAUGUGUAGCGGUGAAAUGCGUAGAUAUAUGGAGGAACACCAGUGGCGAAGGCGACUUUCUGGUCUGUGACUGACACUGAGGCUCGAAAGCGUGGGGAGCAAACAGGAUUAGAUACCCUGGUAGUCCACGCCGUAAACGAUGAGUGCUAAGUGUUGGAGGGUUUCCACCCUUCAGUGCUGGAGUAACGCAAUAAGCACUCCG
rnacentral:rRNA from 1 species